CCUACGGGAGGCAGCAGUGGGGAAUAUUGCGCAAUGGGGGAAACCCUGAUGCAGCAACGCCGCGUGAGCGAAGAAGUAUUUCGGUAUGUAAAGCUCUAUCAGCAGGGAAGAAAAUGUCGGUAACUAACUAAGAAGAUCCGGCUACAUACUUGCCAGCAGCCGCGGUAAGACGUAUGGGGCACACGUUAGCCGGAUUUACUGGGUGUAAAGUGAGCGUAGGCGGUUAGGCAAGUCUGAUGUGAAAGGCCAGGGCUCAACCCUGGGACUGCAUUGGAAACUGAAUAACUGGAGUGUCGGAGAGGCAAGUGGAAUUCCUAGUGUAGCGGUGAAAUGCGUAGAGAUUAGGAGGAACACCAGUGGCGAAGGCGGCUUGCUGGACGAUGACUGACGCUGAGGCUCGAAAGCGUGGGGAGCAAACAGGAUUAGAUACCCUAGUAGUC
rnacentral:rRNA from 1 species